rnacentral:rRNA from 1 species
UACGUAGGUGGCAAGCGUUGUCCGGAUUUACUGGGCGUAAAGCGCGUGUAGGCGGCUUUGCAAGUCGGGUGUGAAAGCCCUCAGCUCAACUGAGGAAGUGCGCCCGAAACUGCAGAGCUUGAGUACCGGAGAGGAUGGCGGAAUUCCCCAAGUAGAGGUGAAAUUCGUAGAUAUGGGGAGGAACACCGGUGGCGAAGGCGGCCAUCUGGACGGAUACUGACGCUGAGACGCGAAAGCGUGGGUAGCAAACAGG